ensembl:lncRNA
GGGGGGUCAUUGGGGGGCUGUGGGGGCUUUAUGGGGUGGGGGGGUAUGGGGGGGUAUGGGGGCUUUAUGGGGCCGGGCUGUUCUGGGGGCAGCGUAUGGGGCACAGCAGUGACCCCCACCCCAUAGCCCACCCCAUAGCCCACCCCAUAGCCCGUGUGCAGCCCCACCCCACAGCCCACAGCCCAUCCCCCAACCCCACAUCCCCUAUUCCCCACACAUCACACCCCAUACCCAUCCCACACACCCCAUAUCCCACCCCAACCCCACAAUCCCACCCCAUAUACCCCACAUCCCAUCCCACACACCCCAUAUCCCACCCCAUACCCCAUCCCACACCCCGCAUCCCAUCCCAAUCCCAUAACCCAUCCCUCACCCAUCCCAUACACCCCAUAGCCCACCCCAUAUACCCCACAUAUACCCCAUAUCCCAUCUCAUACACCCCAUACCCCAUCCCAACCCCACAAUCCCAUCCCAUACACCCCAUAGCCCACCCCAUACACCCCAUACCCACCCCAUACACCCCAUACCCCAUCCCAACCCCACAAUCCCAUCCCAUACACCCCAUACCCACCCCAUAGCCCACCCCAUAUACCCCACAAUCCCACCCCAUACACCCCCCAUCCCAUCCCAUCCCAUCCCAUCCACCCCAUACCCACCCCACCCCAUAACCCACCCCACAUCUCUCACCUCCAUCACACCGUUCCCGGGUCCGACAGAGCUCUGGGUUUAUGGGGUCGGGUCCGGAUUUAUGGGGUCGGGUCCGGAUUUAUGGGGUCGGGGCAGCCCCUCAGCAGUCUGUAUUUAUAGGGUCGGCUCAGCGCCCCGCAGCGCUCCGUGCUGAUGGGGUUUGCUCCGUAUUUAUAGGAUCUGCUCCGUAUUUAUAGGGUCGGCUCUGUAUUUAUAGGGUCAGGUCCGGAUUUAUAGGGUCGGGUCCGGAUUGAUGGGGUCUGGUCCGUAUUUAUAAGGUUCACUCCGUAUUUAUAGGGUCGGGUCUGUAUUUAUAGGGUCCGGUCCAGAUUUAUAGGGUCGGGUCGGGUCGGGGUGGCCCCGCAGCGCUCCGUCCCAAUGGGGUUUGCUCCGUAUUUAUAGGGUCGGCUCCGUAUUUAUAGGGUCGGGUCCGGAUUCAUAGGGUUCAGUCCGUAUUUAUAGGGUCCGGUCCGGAUUUAUAGGGUCGGGUCGCGUCGGGGCAGCCCCGCAGCGCUCCGUACUGAUGGGGUUUGCUCCGUAUUUAUAGGGUUCAGUCCGUAUCUAUAGGGCUCAGUCCGUAUUUAUAGGGUCGGCUCCGUAUUUGUAGGGUCCGGUCCAGAUUGAUGGGGUCGCACUGGAGCGGCCCCGCAGUGCUCUGUCCCGAUGGGGUUCGCUCCGUAUUUAUAGGGUCGGGUCGGUGUUUAUAGGGCCGGGCCCCUAUUGACGGGGCCGGGGCGGUGUUUAUAGGGCGGGGUCGGUGUUUAUAGGGCGGGGUCGGGGCGGCCCCAUCGGCCGGGCGGAAGUUGCGAAGUGCGGCGCUGAAUCAGAAAGGGGAGAAACCGGAGAGGGGAGCCGCGAUCCUACACGGGUGGGGCGCGGGGGGGUGCGGGGGUGGGGGGUGGGGUAUGGGAUAUAGGGUAUGGGAUAUGGGGUAUGGGGUAUGGG